GUGGGGAUGGUGUAACGGCAACAUCUCGGUCUCCAAAACCGAUGAUCUGAGUUCAAAUCUCAGUCCCCUCG
rnacentral:tRNA from 1 species